AUUAUGAAGCUGGUUGAUGGAACAAAAGCUAUCUGGGGUUUUUGUUGUAGUUAGAUAUAUCGGCAUAGACCCUGUUGGUGUUGACUGUGCCUACUACUGCAGUAGAUGUCUUGAAGGCUGAAGAGGGAAAGGUUUCAUGCCGAUAGCCUCUUUUCAAGAUCCUGACUCGAUCCCUCAACCUCCCUGCACCAUUUCCAGUCAUUGUGUCCUUGAAAAAGCUAAGAAGAAAAGGAAGUUGAAGUUAUGAUGCGAGUAAACACACAAGUCAAGACCCACUCUGCUGGUGAAUGAGAAGGACAAGUCGCGCUGCACCACCAACUACAUGCUUUUGUAAGACGUAGCUGUUUUAUUUUGCUUGACUACAUUUAUCACCUAUCAUCUUUGUAAUGUAAUGCCACUUCUAUUUACUCAUAAACUAUCUCCAACUACAUGCUUUUGUAAGAUAUAACUGUUUUAUUUUGCUUGACUACGUUUAUUACCUAUCAUCUUUGUAAUGU